GCAAAAUUGAGUGGACAGUACUAAGAGUUCCCAUACGCCCUCUGUCCCCAUACUAUCCCACAGCCACAUACUAUCCUAAUUUUAAUAAUAUAUUUUAUUUAACCCAAUAUAUAAAAUUAUUAUUAUUUCAACAUUAAUCAAUAUAAAAAUCAUUAAUGAGGUAUUUUACCUUUUUUUCCGCUGUAUACUGCUUUAGUUUUUACAGUUUAAAAUGUGGCCCUAGCCAUGUUUCAAGUGCUCAACAGCCACAUGUGGCUAGUGGCCACCUAUUAGUGCAGAAGAGAAUCAGAUGUUCCAAGGAACAUAGUUUAGGAAAUGCUGGUCUAGCCACACCUGCCCAUCACACAGAUGAAGCUGUGGAGCGAGGAACGUUGGAAGUGACUCUCCUGACAUAGAGACCCAAGUAGCGUCAGAGGUGAGAUCAACACACAAGAGUAGUUCUUGCCACUACACUGUGACUCAAACAUAAAUCUUCUCCUUUGUAGGAGGGAGAAUUCCACCUUCCUUCCUGUGCCCUGCAGGAGAACUCUCUUCUGUUCCUUUGACUUGAAUUAGAAUGGGGCUUAGCCUAGGGCCAGGAGUCCUGAGCCUGCAGUGACUAUCCCCAGCCUUUCAUUCUGCUAUAGUUCUCGAAUCUCUGUGCUGUCUUAAGAUUUGCACAGUAUCCAUUCUUAGUCAGCUUAGGUGUAUCUUUCAGGCCAUAGUGUACUGGGGUCCCUAACCGCAGGGUCAUUGGUCACUGGGGUUCUGGAAUGCAGAGGACAAGAGGAGUCUUCUGUUCAUCACCCAUUCAACAAAUACUCAUUGACCACCCAACAACGUGAUGUGUUCCAGGCCCUGGGGACAUAUCAAUGAACAAGCCAAGUCCUUGACCUCUGGAAUUUAGAUUCCAGUGGUGGGAGACAGACAAAACACAAAUAUGUAAAUAGAUGGCACAUCAGGUAGGAAUAAGCUUUACUGAGAGAAGAGAAAAUAAGGGUAAACAGGAGUAAGGAAUGGAGGCCAAAGAGUGGUGAGGGUAGUGCUAUCGAAGACGAUGGUGGUGAAGAUGAUGAGGAGUGACGAAACACAGCUCUAAGAUUUUCUAACCACGCUAUGCCAUGAAAAUGGUUUAAAAGUAAAGGGAAGUCUUGCCAGGUGCUAAUCGUAAUACUUUACUGAGUGCUUACUAAUAGCCAGGAAUUAUGCCAAGGGCUUUAGGUCCAUUAACUCAUUUGUUCUUCACAAUGACCCCACAAGAGUGGGUAUUACUGUUACACUCUUUUGAGAUUCAGCAAAAUUAACCACCUGAUAAGCCAUGGAGCCAGUAAGUGACGAUAGAUCUGGGAUUGGAAGCCAGGAUGUCUGAGGAGCCCGGCAGCUCUCAAACAUUAGUGUCCAUCAGAAUCACCAGGAGGGCUUGUUAAACCAUAGAUUGCUGGGCUCUAUCUUCAGAGUUUCUGAUUCACUAGGUCUAAGGUGGGGCCCAAGGAUUUGCAUUACUAACAAGUUCCCAGACGAGGAUCAUGUUGCUGGUUGGGUACCACACAUUGAGAAUUAAUAGAGUAGCCUAUGUUCUUAACCAGUACAAGAUAAUAGUAGAAGGGCUUGCUCUGUCCAAGAGGAACCUGAGGAAAUGACACACGGCAACUGGAUGUAUUGGCAGGAGCUACAGCUGGUCGGGGGCGAGGGCGGUGGAUGAUGAGCAGAGUUCUACCCUUUCUUAGCUGUGUCCCAUCUUCACUAUAACACAGGGGCAGCUGCUAAUCUCUAUUAGCGGGGAGUGAGCUUUGAGAUGUUUUCCCUGGAAGGAAUGAACAAAGACUGACAGAGUCAUACCUUUUCAUCAGUCUCUUUCCUCUAGUCUAUCCAAAUAUUCCACAUCCUUCAAGAUCAAGAUGAAAUCCCAUCUAAGGUUGAUCUCUUGGUUCUCACAAUUCAGAUUGUUUUUAGACUCAGUGUUACAUAUAGUAGAGAUUAUUAAUCUCUAAUUUAUUUACGUACCUUUGUCUUUCUUCUCCAGUUAGUUUAAAAGCUUUUUGAGGUCAAGAAUAGUGGUUUAUAUUUAUCUAGGAUUUCCAAUGUGGCUAGAACCAUCUUAGACUAGCUGUACAAUCAAUGAUUAUUGAAAAAAAAUUCAAUGAGUUAG
ensembl:lncRNA